UUUCUCUCCAGAUUUCCUUCAAGAUUGAUGUUGCGGGAGGCUGCCUCCUAGAGUCUGAAAAUCGCAGUCCUGGGUUAAGAUUGUCACCUAGUGGCCAAUGUGAGAAGCGCAUGGCUGUCCCCUCCCCUGACUUCCUUUUAACUCUGUGCUGUGCAAAAAUAGAAGGUGAACUUGCUUCUUCCUACCUACCUGAAACAUCUGAAUGGAUCCAACGAGAAUGUUCGCCCUUCAGAACUGCAGGAUGUCACAGUCACCCAUGUCACUACUCACCGUGAGUCACUACUCACGGGUCACCCAUCAGCCAGCGUCUGUACCCACAGCCUAGUGGAUCCUGGGGCGGUUUACAGCCCAGGCGCUGGCAACCUCAGCUGUCAGUCCUCUCUGGGAAUUUCCUCAGCUGAAGAGAAGGCUUGAGAAGAAGGCCACGCCUCCUUUCUGGGCAGCCACAGCCCUGAUUGGUCAGGGGGUUUGUAAACGCCCAAUCCCUUCACCUAAAAUGGGGGUAAGGAGGGAAGCGCCCUUUCUUUCUCCGCCUGACUCUGCGGCCGGUCCUUCCUGAUCCAGGUAGGGAGGUCCCUCUGAUAAACUUUUCUGCCGCUGGUCUCCGUCUAGGGUGGGCCCCAGGAAGCAGAUGCCAGGAUGGGGUUCUGGAGCUGGACCUAGGGCUGCUGGCUGGCAGUGGGCCUCCUGGCCUGUGUCCCUGGCACAAGGUUUUGGCGCUGCUGUUAUCGGAAGGAAUCUUAAGGAUCAGACUGACCCAGCCUUGACAUACCUGGCUCUGGUGAUCUUGCUGGCAUUUGUGUCUAGGACAAUGCAUCACUCUUAGACUAAAGAAGAAUCUAUUACACCAA